UGUGUGUGUAUUGUUUAGUGUGUGUGUGUGUGUGUGUUUAUGUGUGUGUGUGUGUGUUUAGUGUGUGUGUAUUGUUUAGUGUGUGUGUGUGUGUCUUCCUCCAUUGAUAAGGACUGUGUGUGUAUUGUUUAUGUGUGUGUGUGUGUGUUUAGUGUGUGUGUGUGUGUAUUGUGUUAUGUGUGUGUGUGUGUCUUCCUCCAUUGAUAAGGACUGUGUGUGUAUUGUUUAAUGUGUGUGUGUGUGUGUGUGUGUGUGUGUUUAGUGUGUGUGUAUUGUUUAGUGUGUGUGUGUGUGUGACUGUGUGUGUGUCUUCCUCCAUUGAUAAGGACUGUGUGUGUAUUGUUUAAUGUGUGUGUGUGUGUGUGUGUGUGUGUGUGUCUUCCUCCAUUGAUAAGGACUGUGUGUGUGUUAUAACAUGGAUGUAGUGAGAGAUUUACUCCCCCGGGACAAACGGUGACCUCAUUGUUCACUGCAACAUAAUUCAUCUGUAAUUCUCUCUCUCGUUCUGCAGCACAUUGUGUAUGACUCACUCCCGUGUUUCUGCUGUUUCCCCCCGACCACCACACACACACACACACACACACACACACAGAGAAUCCUUAUCAGUGGAGGAAGAGGAGGAAGCGAGAGCAGAAUCAUUUG
rnacentral:lncRNA from 1 species